rnacentral:rRNA from 1 species
GGGUUGUGAGGUUAAGCGACUAAGCGUACACGGUGGAUGCCCUGGCAGUCAGAGGCGAUGAAGGGCGUGCUAAUCUGCGAUAAGCGCCGGUAAGGUGAUAUGAACCGUUAUAACCGGCGAUACCCGAAUGGGGAAACCCAGUGUGAUUCGUCACACUAUCAUUAACUGAAUCCAUAGGUUAAUGAGGCGAACCGGGGGAACUGAAACAUCUAAGUACCCCGAGGAAAAGAAAUCAACCGAGAUUCCCCCAGUAGCGGCGAGCGAACGGGGAGGAGCCCAGAGCCUGAAUCAGCAUGUGUGUUAGUGGAAGCGUCUGGAAAGGCGCGCGAUACAGGGUGACAGCCCCGUACACAAAAGCGCAUGUGCUGUGAGCUCGAUGAGUAGGGCGGGACACGUGGUAUCCUGUCUGAAUAUGGGGGGACCAUCCUCCAAGGCUAAAUACUCCUGACUGACCGAUAGUGAACCAGUACCGUGAGGGAAAGGCGAAAAGAACCCCGGCGAGGGGAGUGAAAAAGAACCUGAAACCGUGUACGUACAAGCAGUGGGAGCCCCACCACUAAGCCAGUGGUGAACUCCACAUACGCAUCCUUUGCUGAGGAUACGGUUAACGGAGCGAAAGCGACGUUCAACCUCAAAAGAAGCAGAGGGGGCUUAGUGGUGGGGUGACUGCGUACCUUUUGUAUAAUGGGUCAGCGACUUAUAUUCUGUAGCAAGGUUAACCGUAUAGGGGAGCCGGAGGGAAACCGAGUCUUAAUUGGGCGUUAAGUUGCAGGGUAUAGACCCGAAACCCGGUGAUCUAGCCAUGGGCAGGUUGAAGGUUGGGUAACACUAACUGGAGGACCGAACCGACUAAUGUUGAAAAAUUAGCGGAUGACCUGUGGCUGGGGGUGAAAGGCCAAUCAAACCGGGAGAUAGCUGGUUCUCCCCGAAAGCUAUUUAGGUAGCGCCUCGUGAAUUCAUCUCCGGGGGUAGAGCACUGUUUCGGCUAGGGGGCCAUCCCGGCUUACCAACCCGAUGCAAACUGCGAAUACCGGAGAAUGUUAUCACGGGAGACACACGGCGGGUGCUAACGUCCGUCGUGAAGAGGGAAACAACCCAGACCGCCAGCUAAGGUCCCAAAGUCAUGGUUAAGUGGGAAACGAUGUGGGAAGGCCCAGACAGCCAGGAUGUUGGCUUAGAAGCAGCCAUCAUUUAAAGAAAGCGUAAUAGCUCACUGGUCGAGUCGGCCUGCGCGGAAGAUGUAACGGGGCUAAACCAUGCACCGAAGCUGCGGCAGCGACGCUGAUGCGUUGUUGGGUAGGGGAGCGUUC